AAUAUAUAAUCCAGCCGUUGACAGUAUUUUCCACAUAAUGUCUCUAUAAUGUUUCACUUUGGUAUUUCUGUAUUACUUGGCACUUGAUAUAAUAUAUGUAAUAUAUGUGUUGUUAUUUUUUCAUUUUUUUCCCACACCAAUCUGCUUUGUCACCGUUGGCUAUUGAUUCUUGAAUUGGAUAUCUAGUUUGCAAAAUGUAUCGAGAUUGGAUUGCCACAGCUCAUAUUUCUAGUUAUUUUUUCCCAGUUUAUACCUCAUCUAAUGAGUGGGGAAAGGCAUUUCUUUGACCGCUUUGCUGUUAUAUUCUCAGUGGUGAUUGUUUGGAUUUAUGCUCACCUACUUACUGUGGGUGGGGCAUAUAAGAACGCACCUAUGAAAACUCAAUUAAGCUGCUGAACAGAUCUUGCAGGACUUAUAGGUGCUGCUCCAUGGAUUAGAGUCCCAUAUCCAUUUCAAUGGGGAGCUCCCAUAUUCUUGUAGAGGUAUUGUGCUUGUUAGUUGAAGCCUGAGAUACAUCAUUAGACAUUUGGAUUGUUUCUCAGGGAACCAUCAACUUGUCACUUCAUAUUGUUGUCUCCUAUUAUGCAUCCGUUGUGGUAUUUAUGUGCUUGUGUUGUGUUUAGUUUCUCUUCUUAUGCAGCUGGUACCAUUCCCUAGAAUGGAGGUUGGUUUUGUUAGGUAGCUUAAUAGUUAGUGUAUAGCCGUAAAACUUUUGUUUGUGAGUUGAGUUGUUUCUGCAAAAUUUGUAUGAAAUAUCUUAUCCAAAGUUGUAUUGACUUUUGAAGCAAGCACACUAUUGCAGAAUCUUUUUGAUAUUUCUAUUGCAACACUUUCCUCCCUGUUAAUGGCAUAAACCCUCACUUUUCUACAUCCAUCUUUGAAACUUAUUACGAGCCUAAGUUAUAUAAUACUUGUAUUGUAUCUCCAUGCAAUUUUUUGUGUUUCUUAACCA